rnacentral:tRNA from 1 species
UAGCUCAGUCGGUAGAGCAGAGGAUUGAAAAUCCUCGUGUCGGUGGUUCGAUUCCGC